CUCACAGCUGCCUUCGGCUGCUCCACUGAGAUUCACAAACCCGUCUUUCUCAGCACAUGGACGAAGACCCGGGAGGGGGGACCCCUGCCUUUUAAAACUCAGGAAAUUAUGACUUGGUCUCUAUCACUGACAACCUCUGAUGCCACUCUAGUCAUCCACAGUGAUGUUGCGG